GGCGAACGGGUGAGUAACACGUGGGUGAUCUGCCCUGCACUUCGGGAUAAGCCUGGGAAACUGGGUCUAAUACCGGAUAGGACCACAUUUUGGAUGGUGUGGUGGAAAGUUUUUCGGUGUGGGAUGAGCUCGCGGCCUAUCAGCUUGUUGGUGGGGUAAUGGCCUACCAAGGCGUCGACGGGUAGCCGGCCUGAGAGGGUGACCGGCCACACUGGGACUGAGACACGCCCAGACUCCUACCGGAGGCAGC
rnacentral:rRNA from 16 species